rnacentral:misc_RNA from 1 species
UCCUCGUUUAAAGCGAGGCAGUCUGUUUAGAGAUCCCGCUUGCGCAGGCAACUAAACACAGGGGUUGCGCUCGUUGCGGCACUUAAGCCAACAUCUCACGACACGAGCUGACGACAACCAUGCAGCACCUGUGCUGGCUUCCCGAUUGCUCGGGAUCGUCACCCUUUCAGGCUUCUACCACCAGCAUGUCAAGGCCAGGUAAGGUUCUUCGCGUUGCAUCGAAUUAAGCCACAUGCUCCACCGCUUGUGCGGGCCCCCGUCAAUUUCUUUGAGUUUUAGCCUUGCGGCCGUACUUCCCAGGCGGUUCACUUAUCGCGUUGGCUUCGGCACGCAGGGGGUCGACUCCCCGCACACCAAGUGAACACCGUUUAGGGCCAGGACUA